UCCUACGGGAGGCAGCAGUGGGGAAUAUUGCACAAUGGGGGAAACCCUGAUGCAGCAACGCCGCGUGAGUGAUGACGGCCUUCGGGUUGUAAAGCUCUGUCUUCAGGGACGAUAAUGACGGUACCUGAGGAGGAAGCCACGGCUAACUACGUGCCAGCAGCCGCGGUAAUACGUAGGUGGCAAGCGUUGUCCGGAUUUACUGGGCGUAAAGGGAGCGUAGGCGGACUUUUAAGUGAGAUGUGAAAUACCCGGGCUCAACUUGGGUGCUGCAUUUCAAACUGGAAGUCUAGAGUGCAGGAGAGGAGAAUGGAAUUCCUAGUGUAGCGGUGAAAUGCGUAGAGAUUAGGAAGAACACCAGUGGCGAAGGCGAUUCUCUGGACUGUAACUGACGCUGAGGCUCGAAAGCGUGGGGAGCAAACAGGAUUAGAUACCCUUGUAGUC
rnacentral:rRNA from 1 species